rnacentral:rRNA from 1 species
CCUACGGGCGGCUGCAGUGAGGAAUAUUGGUCAAUGGGCGGAAGCCUGAACCAGCCAAGUCGCGUGAAGGAAGACGGCCCUACGGGUUGUAAACCUCUUUUAUCCGGGAGCAACACGCGUUACGUGUACCGCAUCGCGCGUACCCGGUGAAUAAGCAUCGGCUAACUCCGUGCCAGCAGCCGCGGUAAUACGGAGGGUGCGGGCGUUAUCCGGAUUUAUUGGGUUUAAAGGGAGCGCAGGCGGCAGGUUAAGUCGGCGGUGAAAUGUCCGGGCUCAACCCGGGCCAUGCAGCGGAAAUUGGCGUGCUUGAGUGCGCGGGAAGCAGGCGGAAUGCGUGGUGUAGCGGUGAAAUGCAUAGAUAUGACGCAGAACUCCGAUUGCGAAGGCAGCUUGCUGCAGCGGAACUGACGCUGAGGCACGAAAGCGCGGGUAUCGAACAGGAUUAGAUACCCGUGUAGUC